GAUAUCGAUCGAUAUUCACUAUUCAAUGGACAGAACCCGCUCAAACAAAGAUAUAUUGGAUCGCUUUUUGUCAAAAAGCAAGAGAAAUAAUGUUGAAGAUGUAUCGAAACGACAGGAGAUAAGGCAGUUAUGCGAUUGUUCGGAACAUACCAAAAGAAUUACAUUCAAAAGAUUUGAGGAAAUACUUCAGUAGAUUUGUAGAAGCUGGUCAGUUCCAGUGUUUCCACUACAGACAUCGACCAGAAGUUCAGGCGCAAACAAGUGGAUCAGAAUCUCAAAAAAGCAAUACUUGUUGUUGCUUGAUCUCGUUACGAAGUGAAGAAGAUAGGGAAACCUUCAUAGAGGAGUUCCACAAAAAAAACUGGCAAAACUCCGCAGGUGUCGAUAUUCCUAGAAGGUGUUUUGUGGAUCGACUGAAAGUACAAAGUGAUGAUAGUGAAGGGACCUCCAAUUCUUUAUCAACUAAUGAUUUAAACGAUAUGAUUGAAUUAAAACCUCCAGAUGUAAUGCCUAAUGGAAAUAUUGGAACUCCAAGUCAAUACUUUUUGGAGCAAAUUCGUUUAUGCCGUCUACCAACAACUGUGAUAUCGAAACUUGGAAUUCAAACUCAAAAAAGAAAGAAAAAGUUCGGAGAAGUUGAUUUUCAGUAUGAGAAAACUGAUUCGUGUAAAGCUGAGAAAAUCAAAUGCGAAACGAUUCCUGGUGUCGAAGAUGAACUUGAAGAUCCUACGGAAAGAGUAAGAAUGAAUCAAAAUCCAGAAGAUAAUGAUGAUGGUAAAGAUGAUGACAACGAUCAAUGUGAAGAAUGGGAGAGACAUGAAGCUUUACAUGAAGAUGUUACUGAACAAGACAGAGCAAAACCACGAAAGUAUGAAGAAGAAAUGGAAGUUACUUGGGAAAAGGGAGGUCCUGGUCUUGUUUGGUAUACUGACAAAAACUAUUGGGAUGAAAGAGAAAAAGGUUCGUUACAAACCUUCCCUGUGUAUUAUAUGGAUUAUUUGCAGGAACUGAUUGUGAUUGGGCGUGGGCAGAUGAUUGGGACGUCGAUUAUUCGGUUUACUACGAGGGAAAAUCAGCAGGCGAUAUGGAUGCAAAAGCAGCAAUAGAAAUGAGAAAUGAUGAUCUUAUGCGGUAUGGGAGUUCUCAUUGUCGGCUCCUUUAAAAAAUAUUUUAUAGGUCUGGGAAACUCGAACAAUCGGCUUUCACAAAGAAAAGAAACCCCCAUAAUCUUGGCACAACGCGAAAAAGAAGAAACAGUGAUGGUGGUGGAUCCUCCGAAAAAGCAUCUGAAAAUCUUCAAAAAGGAAUUGGAGGUUCUAUGCUGGCUAAGUAAGCUUUUAACAAGUCAUCUGAAAUUUUAAAGAAAUACAAAUUAAAUUUCAGAAUGGGUUGGAAACCUGGAACUGGGCUUGGAAAAAACGAACAAGGACGAGUUGUUCCCGUAGCUGUAUAUGUUGAAGAAGAUGGGCAAAGUAGUAAAGAAAAAACAGGAUUCGGUUAUAGAGGAGAGAAAUUGUCAAGAGUGGUUCAGAAAAAAACUAUUCGGCAUGUUAUAGCCUCCGCGUAUGAUUUUAUGAUCGUGAUGAAUCACAUUUAUGAUUUCUAUUUACAGAUUCGACAGUGUCACUGAUAGGGAGCAGUGUGAGGACAAGCAAUCCGAGGAAGAGCUUCACGGAGAAAUACUUUUUAGAAGAUCUGAAGUUACCAAAAUGAAGUAUCGUGAAUAAUUUAUUUCAUUAUAUCCACCCACACAUGUCUGUACUCUAGAGUUGGUAUUCAACCUUAAAAUAAAUGUAUAUUUUCCAAC